rnacentral:lncRNA from 1 species
GCAUAUUAAAUUUAGUAUAAGUUAAAAAAAUAAUUAUUCAUAAAAAAUAAUUAUUCAUUUAUAAAAAAAAUUUAACGGUUAAUCAUAUAUUAAUAUAGAUUAGAUCAAUAUGAUAAAGAUAUUAGACGAUGAGCUUCUCUUGGUCAUUGCCUCACGACCAAAAAGGCUCGAAACUUCGAUGAGUAAUCAUAGGGGAUUCUUUCUGCGAGGAGCUUCUCUUAGUCAUAGUAGGGGCUCAACUCGCUACUCAAUUAGAUGUCAGUGCUAGAAGCGAAAGUCCAGGGAUUGGAUCAUCUCUACAGUAGGUUCAUCUUGAGGAAGUACGGUACGUCUAAGGUUAAGAUCUGAAGCCGAUCUUCAUUGGCCUUCCGCACCUAUGAUUCCUUGAAUUCCUCGCCAAUUUAAGGUCAAGCGGCUUAACUUUUUUUCUCGUUCCUUUUG